ACGUUUCUGCGAUGAAAAGAUAACAGAAAGACUAUGUCAGCAAAAGACAAAAAAAGAUUAUCUUGUUAAUCAGCACAACAGCCAAACAGUGCUCUUAGCUUAAGGUCUGCCGAGAGAAGAAAGCCUUUACCUACAGAGGGACGGGAAACAGGCGCGGGUGGGGGGGGCGGGAGAGGGAGGGAGGAAGCUUGGAAAAGAUACGGAAAAAUUCAAACCCCAUUCCCUUCCGCGUCCAACUUCCAACAUCUGAAGCUUUAAAAGUCAGUACCACAAUCAGUUCUUUCCCGAAAGGACCGAAGUAUCCCGCAGCACGUCUCUUGCGAAGUCUAUUUUCCAACUAAGCGGCGGCAGCAAGCCGAAGGAAAAUACGCAACGCCGCUUUCCACGGGAGAAAAGUGCCUCCGCGGAGGAGGUGCUGCAGGGGUUAACGAGUCCUUGCAGACGCCAACCCUCCAGCUUCACCCUUCCCGAUUUUCGGCGGAAUCCAAGCAAACGCCUUCCCGAGCAAGCCAGCGGAAAACGGGGCCGGGGCCGCGGCCGCAGCUCCCCCUCCGCGGCUCACAGCGCUGCGCGGUCGCUCGCCAAGCCCAGACACUUCCUCCGCCUCCUCUCGCCCUGCGGCCGCCCGCCGGGGCCGGGGCCGCGGCCGCGCUCUGCGGGGCCAGCCGGGACGAGACGGUGAGGGCGCAGCACCUUCCUUCGGUCAAUCCUGCGCACUUUGCUAUCCAGCGCAGCCUGCAGCUCCGGGACCAGGCUCACCGACACCCUAACAUCUUGCCACCGCGAACCAGCGCCAUGAGAUAAACAGCAAUAAACACAGAGUGCCUCUUCCUGGCAGGGCCAGCCCUCAGGACCUUUUCCUUCCCUGGGAUAAACAAGCAGGAAGUGAGGCUGUCACCAGCUUGCAAUUUAGUCUCCUCCUGAAGAGGCUGAACUGAAGCACAGUCCAAGAUUUGAAGGACCUUCUUCUUCUCUCUGACAACCACACAGAGGUCCAAGAAAUUGUUCACAGAGUCUGGCAACUGCUCGAAGAUGUCUGCAACCACUCACUACACAUUUCUGUUGCAAGUAAGUGUCUGUGCUUUGAUGACCACUGACACUACACACAAGCUCCUUCAUGAUUUCUUUGGCUUGCAGGAAGUUGUGGAGGAACAGCAAGCAGAGAUCUUUCCUUCUACUUGGUGUGGGGCACACUGCAGUGAAGCACAAACACAAGCAGCCCCUGCAAUGCCAAUUCUUGCUGCCUAAUUACUACCUACAGAUUUUGAAGUAACUAGUUCUGAUUUGGGCUGGUUUGCAGGUUUUUGUGUGUACUGUGUUUUGUUUGUGGUUUUGUUACCUGGGGUCGGUUGCUUGUUCUAUUUGUUGUGCUUUGGUUUGUGUUGUGGCAUUUCUGUCCUUUCUCACAACUCUAAAUAGGUGAAUGUUUGUUAAACUGUGCCACAGAGGUUUCCAGCCUGCCAGCCCAAGACAGCACACACAGGUGGUCGUUUUGUAGAGCAAGAGUAGAAGAGAAUAAUCACAGACACAGAAUCACAGCAUCACAGAAUCAGUCAGGGUUGGGAGGGACCACAAGAUCAGCCAGUUCCAACCCCCCUGCCAUGGGCAGGGACAUCCUCCCCCAGAUCACAUGCAUGUGAGUGUGUGUAUAUGGGGUUUUUUUGUGGUUGAAAGCAUCUCUUACCUCUGAAAUAGACUUACUCAAUUUACUGCUUUGUUCAGCAGAAUGUGACCUCGGUUCAAAGUAUGUAUUAACCCCAAAUGCAGCUCUCUUUUAAUAGAUAGUGCUCUGUUUAUUUUUCUGGGCCACUUUUAAAAGUGAAACAAUUUUACUGUGUGGAAAUAAAACUACCUGGUAGCCUCUGUAAGAUUUGGAAAAAUAAAUUCUUUUUCACUGAGUCCUUUUACUCAAAGGUAGGGAAAACCAGAAGUAUUCUGAUGGUGUUCAUUAGAUACCAAUCUAUAUUAAAAGGGAUUAAUGUUCUCACUGGAUAUUCAAAGCCUCUCUUGAGAGUGCAUUUGCUGGUCAUCUACACAUGAUAACAAUCUCCUACUCCUUAGGCCAUAUGCUUGGAAGAUCAAGUAUCCUCUAUAAACAAACUGACAUGAAAUACAUCAGCUGAAAGGCUUAAAAGGUGCCCAACAAUUAGCUUUCCCUCCCAAAAACCUCCUGAAAAACCACACUGAAAAAUUAAACCAGGCUGUAAGGGAUCUCACACCACAGCCCCACACUACGGCCCAAGUCUGUGCUGGGGGUAUCCACAGCCAGCUCCACAGACAGAAAGUCAUUAAGCAGCCUCCCUCCAGGGAAUGCCAAAAGAUCCUGCAAUGAUAAUGAAGCCCCCUCCACGGUGCUGCACUGUUGGCUUUUGUUUUGAACAAUAGCUCUCCCAUGAUACCUCUGGCUGGCUGCAAAUAUUGGUAUGAAGUGAGCGUGAGCACAGCUGUGUGUAAAUUACAUAUAUAAACAGAUUAGAUUUGUAUAUUUAUACUGGGUGCAAACACAUUAAUAGCACAUUUGCAUACACAGUGGGCUAAAUGAGGCUGCAUGCAGAGCAGGAUUACUAGUUACAAAUGCAGUUAUUUAGGAUUUUCAAUAAAGUACU